GGGAAGACGGAGAUCCUGGAGCUCCCACUUAAUGGACCACCAGCAAGACAUGGGCAGGGGAAGCCGCAGGAGGCUGGGGACGGAAUGUGAGGAGGCCUUAGUCACUGGUGCACAUGUGUCCUCACUGACAAGCAAUGGCCAAGGAAACUGCAGUCUCUCCAACAGCUGAAUCACGAAAUCUGAUGUAAUGAGCAAGAAUGGAGAUGACAUGGACCACAUUCUCACCUCCUGGCCUUCAAACUGUCUUGCAUCUUCCUGAAACCUUAUUGCCCAUCCCACCCCAAACCCAAUCUGGCUAAAACUCUCAUUCAUCCUUCAGCCUUCAAAUCAGAAGUCCCUUCUUCUGGGAAGCCUUCCCCAUCUGUCAAGUUUGGGUUAGAUGCCCCUGCUACAUGAUUCUAUCCUACCCAGUAUGUCCCCAGACCAAGGUAUUUAUUAAAAUAUUGCAAAUA